UCCUACGGGAGGCAGCAGUGGGGAAUUUUGGACAAUGGGCGAAAGCCUGAUCCAGCAAUGCCGCGUGAGUGAAGAAGGCCUUCGGGUUGUAAAGCUCUUUUGUCAGGGAAGAAACGGUGAGAGCUAAUAUCUCUUGCUAAUGACGGUACCUGAAGAAUAAGCACCGGCUAACUACGUGCCAGCAGCCGCGGUAAUAC
rnacentral:rRNA from 1 species